UACAGAGGUCCCGAGCGUUGUUCGGAUUCAUUGGGCGUAAAGGGUGCGUAGGCGGUUUUCUAAGUUUGAUGUGAAAUCCCGGGGCUUAACCCUGGAAUUGCAUUGAAUACUGGGAGACUAGAGUACUGGAGAGGAAACUGGAAUUUACGGUGUAGCAGUGAAAUGCGUAGAGAUCGUAAGGAAGACCAGUGGCGAAGGCGAGUUUCUGGACAGUUACUGACGCUGAGGCACGAAGGCCAGGGGAGCAAACGGG
rnacentral:rRNA from 1 species